rnacentral:rRNA from 1 species
UAGUGGCGAACGGGUGAGUAACACGUGGGUAACCUGCCCAUCAGAGGGGGAUAACUAUUGGAAACGAUAGCUAAUACCGCAUAAAAGUUGACAUUGCAUGAUGUUGAUUUGAAAGAUGCAAUUGCAUCACUAAGAGAUGGACCUGCGUUGUAUUAGCUAGUUGGUGAGGUAACGGCUCACCAAGGCGACGAUACAUAGCCGACCUGAGAGGGUGAUCGGCCACACUGGGACUGAGACACGGCCCAGACUCC